UACAGAGGGCUCAAGCGUUGUUCGGAUUCAUUGGGCGUAAAGCGCGUGUAGGCGGCUUUGCAAGUCGAGUGUGAAAUCCCCAGGCUUAACCUGGGAACUGCAUUCGAGACUGCAUAGCUAGAGUAUGGGAGAGGGAAGUGGAAUUUCAGGUGUAGCGGUGAAAUGCGUAGAUAUCUGAAGGAACAUCAGUGGCGAAAGCGACUUCCUGGACCAAUACUGACGCUCAUGUGCGAAAGCGUGGGGAGCAAACAGG
rnacentral:rRNA from 1 species